GAUCCUGGCUCAGGAUGAACGCUGGCGGCGCGCCUAACACAUGCAAGUCGAACGGACAAUGAAGAGCUUGCUUUUCAAAGUUAGUGGCGGACGGGUGAGUAACGCGUGGGUAACCUGCCUUAUACAGGGGGAUAACAGUUAGAAAUGACUGCUAAUACCGCAUAAGCGCACAGGAUUGCAUGAUCUGGUGUGAAAAACUCCGGUGGUAUAAGAUGGACCCGCGUCUGAUUAG
rnacentral:rRNA from 1 species